rnacentral:tRNA from 1 species
UAUUCUUCUAGUAUUAAUUAGUACAACUGACUUCCAAUCAGUUAGUCUUGGAAAACUCCAAGGAAGAAUAA